GAUGAACGCUGGCGGCGUGCCUAAUACAUGCAAGUCGAGCGAACGGACGAGAAGCUUUCCUCUCUGAUGUUUGCGGCGGACGGGUGAGUAACACGUGGAUAAACCACCUAUAAGACUGGGAUAACUUCGGGAAACCGGAGCUCAUACCGGAUAAUAUUUUGAACCGCAUGGUUCAAAAGUGAAAGACGGUCUUGCUGUCACUUAUAGAUGGAUCCGCGCUGCAUUAGCUAGUUGGUAAGGUAACGGCUUACCAAGGCAACGAUGCAUAGCCGACCUGAGAGGGUGAUCGGCCACACUGGAACUGAGACACGGUCCAGACUCCUACGGGAGGCAGCAGUAGGGAAUCUUCCGCAAUGGGCGAAAGCCUGACGGAGCAACGCCGCGUGAGUGAUGAAGGUCUUCGGAUCGUAAAACUCUGUUAUUAGGGAAGAACAUAUGUGUAAGUAACUGUGCACAUCUUGACGGUACCUAACCAGAAAGCCACGGCUAACUACGUG
rnacentral:rRNA from 1 species